CCUACGGGCGGCAGCAGUCGGGAAUCUUUGGCAAUGGGCGCAAGCCUGACCGAGCAACGCCGCGUGAAGGAAGAAGGCUUUUGGGUUGUAAACUUCCUGUAAGAGGGAAGAGCAGAAGACGGUACCUCUUGAAUAAGCCACGGCUAACUACGUGCCAGCAGCCGCGGUAAUACGUAGGUGGCAAGCGUUGUCCGGAUUUACUGGGUGUAAAGGGCGUGUAGGCGGGCUGACAAGUCAGAUGUGAAAUCCGGGGGCUCAACCCCCGAACUGCAUAUGAAACUGUUGGUCUUGAGUAUCGGAGAGGCAGGCGGAAUUCCUAGUGUAGCAGUGAAAUGCGUAGAUAUUAGGAGGAACACCAGUGGCGAAGGCGGCCUGCUGGACGACAACUGACGGUGAGGCGCGAAGGCGUGGGGAGCGAACGGGAUUAGAUACCCCGGUAGUC
rnacentral:rRNA from 1 species